rnacentral:tRNA from 8 species
GCGGAAGUGGCUCAGUGGUAGAGCACUGGCUUCCCAAGCCGGGGACCGCGGGUUCGAAUCCCGUCUUCCGCUCCA